rnacentral:misc_RNA from 1 species
AAACAUUCCUGUUGGUGGAGGCUCAAGGAAGAACAAAAGACCUUCUUCUUCAUCAUCAUCUACAUCUCCCACACCUUCUUCAUCUCAACCUAUUCCCAAGAAAAUUCUUGAUCUCCCUCAAAACCCUAAAUCCACCCAAGAUCUCAACUUGUUCUUCCCACCCUCGAACCAUCAAGAUCAUCAUCAUUUCAUCACCAAUAGCCACCCCGAAAUCGUUGCCCCUGCGAUUGCCAGUUCCUCAUCAGCCUCUACUGUUGCGACGGCGGCGGUGUCGUCGUCGCCUUCGGCCCCAUCGCAUCAUCAUCCGCUUUCGGCAAUGGAGCUUCUCGCCGGGAUGGCGA